rfam:[Eubacterium] eligens ATCC 27750 plasmid unnamed, complete sequence.
AAGCUAAGAAGUAAGGUGUUGUGCCAGAGAGCAGUGCCUUAUGAGCUUUAUACGGGUUUGACAUUUACCACAAUCUGGCUAGAAACCAUAGGUUUUGAAGGAAAAUGUCAGAG